rnacentral:ncRNA from 1 species
GAGAGCCGUAUACUUGGAGACAAGUACGUACGGUUCGGGGGGGAGUACAUGGAAACCUAUCAUAGAAAUAUGAUAAGGCGCUGGGUACUUACCCUAC